GAUUUACAUACUGAAAAUCAUAUUGAAACAAAAUGCUUUUUUUCUUUCCCAGAAUGCAAGUGGUCUGCCCCUGAAAGAGGUAAAUAAUGAAUUUGCCUGAAUGAUCUAAGAUAGAAUUGUUAUCAUAUGUUAUACAUGCGUUAAUUGUCCCAGUAUCAUACAGUGUAUGUCGUCUAUAUCUGUUCAUGUGGCGAACAUGUUUCCCUUUGUAGGGUGAGAACAUUUUCCUGCUGCCAAAGGUGAGGAAUUCACACAAACAAUGAUUUAUUUUAGUAUUAUGAUGCCUGGAGUACUGCAUGAUGGGAUUGUGUAAAACAAAUAAUGUAUCUUCUUUACUAUCAGGGAGGACGAGGAACACCCCCACCAAGGGUAUGGACUAGCCUCUCAUUCCAUGUUGGCUUAAUUCUAUGACUCUGAAGUAUUGUAGGCAACAUAGCAGGAAGUAUGCCAUUGUACUGUAUAUAACAGAUAAGUAAACUGUAAUAUGUUUUACAGCAUGGACAUAAAAGACCUCAAGAAUUAGGGUUUGGAUACCCACACUCAUCUGGUUUUCAGUUCCAACCUUACCUGAAGCUCAUCUACAACCCCUCAGCUACAAAUAAAAUCUCAUUUGAAUAUGGGAUAACAACACUUCUCCCAUCGUUCAUGAAGGUAAGAAAUUACUAAUGACAUUGUUGUAUCUGUAUUCCUACAAUAAAAUAAUGUAUUUCCUUUCUUAAACCAUGAUAUGAUUGCUCUAUCUGCAGGCUGAAGAGACAAAGGCUUGGGAAGAGGAAGAAAAAUAAUAUGGUGGAUACAAGGUGUGUUAAACACUU
rnacentral:lncRNA from 13 species